GGUAGCGUGAAGCCGAGGAGCGGUCCUAAGGCGCUGGUUUUAAGGCACCAGUCUCUUCCGGAGGCGUGGGUUCGAAUCCCACCGCUGCCA